rnacentral:tRNA from 1 species
UGCCACAUGGUGUAGCGGUAACACAUCAGACUUUGGUUCUGAAAUCCAAGGUUCAAACCCUUGUGUGGCAA